CCUUCGAUAGCUCAGUUGGUAGAGCGGUGGACUGUAGAAGAUGUUUCAGCGGUGGUUGUUGAGUUGUUGUGAGCUUUGAGAGUUUGUUGUGUGAAUACGAAGAAAGCAUUUGUUUCCGAACAAUUGCACACUUUCUCCCCACGGCCCCCCCAAACCAUGUGUUGUGGCUCUUUAAUAUAGAUACAAGUCUUGCUGCUCCAGCUUCUCUAUCUCUGUCCUGUAUACGGUAAUCCAUAGGUCACUGGUUCAAAUCCGGUUCGAAGGA
rnacentral:tRNA from 1 species